CAUGCAAGUCGAGGGGCAGCAUUUACUUCGGUAAAUGGCGACCGGCGCACGGGUGAGUAACGCGCAUGCAACCUACCUUUAACUGGGGCAUAGCUCGAGGAAACUCGAAUUAAUUCCCCAUAGUACAUUAUAAUAUCUCAUGAUAUAAAUGUUAAAGAUUUAUCGGUUAAAGAUGGGCAUGCGUCUGAUUAGUUUGUUGGUAAGGUAACGGCUUACCAAGACUACGAUCAGUAGGGGGUCUGAGAGGAUGAUCCCCCACACUGGUACUGAGACACGGACCAGACAUCUACGGAUGGCAGCAGUAAGGAAUAUUGGGCAAUGGGCGCAAGCCUGACCCAGCCAUGCCGCGUGCAGGAUGACGACCCUAUGGGUUGUAAACUGCUUUUAUAUAGGAAGAAAAUACUCUUGUGAGAGGAUCUGACGGUACUAUAUGAAUAAGGACCGGCUAACUCCGUGCCAGCAGCCGCGGUAAUACGGAGGGUUCAAGCGUUUUCCGGAUUUAUUGGGUUUAAAGAGUGCGUAGGUGGUUUAUUAAGUCAGUGGUGAAAUCCUGCAGCUCAACUGUAGAACUGCCAUUGAUACUGGUAAACUUGAGUUUGGUUUAGGUAAGCGGAAUUUAUGAUGUAGCGGUGAAAUGCAUAGAUAUCAUAAGGAACACCAAUAGCGAAGGCAGCUUACUGGACCACAACUGACACUGAGGCACGAAAGCGUGGGUAGCGAACAGGAUUAGAUACCCUGGUAGUCCACGCCGUAAACGAUGCUCACUCGAUGUUAGCGAUAUACUGUUAGCGUCCAAGCUAAAGCGUUAAGUGAGCCACCUGGGGAGUACGCCGGCAACGGUGAAACUCAAAGGAAUUGACGGGGGUCCGCACAAGCGGUGGAGCAUGUGGUUUAAUUCGAUAAUACGCGAGGAACCUUACCUAGGCUAGAAUGCGAGUGACAUCCAGAGA
rnacentral:rRNA from 1 species